AAUGCCCAAAAAUUAUUAUUUUGCCCAAUCUGGUCAUAAUGGAAAAUGUUAUAAAAAACGGUAAUCUAUUGCUAUUGGCAUUGAUAAAUCUUUAUGUGUGCAUUUGUUAUCACACCAAAAUCAUUUGCGAAAUGCCGUCGGGUAGAUAGGUUCGAGCCAAGAAUGAUAGAGAAAGAGAUUACGUAAUGCGCAUGUUUGCUUUCAGUCAGCUGUUUUUGCUGACGUCACGGUUGACUUAUUAUUCGUCCGCGCCUUUGAAUUUGAAUCUGAAUUGUAUUUUCGAGUGUAGUAUUAAUUGCGACCUUUUAUUUAUUUUAAAAUGCGUUGCGCAGUGUUCGGAUGCUAUAAUAACAAUGUUAAAAAUAUUGCUACGGAGUAGAGAUUUUUAAAUUCCCUAAAGAUAAAACAGUACUAAAACAAUGGAUUCAUUUUUGUCGUCGGGCGGACUAAAUUCAUGUUAAAAAUGAGUUCAUUUAUGAAGUACACUGUACUCCAGAAGCUUCCGAAAGCAACUUGCAGUUUAUAAUGGGUUUAAGUUCGAGGAAUCCGACGAAGUUACUACCUACCGCUUUUCCCACGUUAAGCACUGCUCCUGGAGAGGUUAGUGAACGACAGAAAAGGAUGUAGUCUCGUUUAAACCAGGACGUUUUAGAAAUUUUUUGGCGUCAUCAGGUUAAAAGGCGGUCUUCACAAUCACCCUGACAGGCAGGAAUUGAAAUAUAGGCUCCGUUCACAAUGAAGGAAAUGUUAAAGUCGACAACACAUCAGAUUUGGAAGGGAAUUACUUAUCUCUAAUCGGUAAUAUUUUUCAACGUGAUUUGGAGAUUCUCAACAACGACGGACUUGAGCAUUUGGCAGGGUAUAUCGGCAAUAAACUCGGUAAAGACAACCCCCAAAUUUGUGCCAAUUCACAAAAUUGUUCAUCUUAUACUUGGGUGGGUACCCUUUCUGAAGGAGAACUCUCAAAACCAACAGAUAUGUACAUACAUAUGUUGAUGGAGCAUAUGAGAGCCAUGCAAGCAGUAUUUGACGACACAGGUGUACUGAUUUGCAUAUACAUAUGUAUGUACAAAUUAUGUUCAAAAGCACUUAGAUUUAAGUAAGUUUGUAAACCGUUGCACGAAAGUAAAAAACUGUUUUUUUAGAGCUAGAGUGUAUUUUAGGAUUCGUUCCUUAACCCUUAAAUGCCCAAGGUCUCAGAUUUUCGUAAAAAAUGUAUAUGUUAUGUAAAAAUAUAUGUGGAACGUGGUUCCUUAGACGAUUUUUUGAAAAAAAUUACUUUCAGAGAAAUUAAGGCCCUUGGAUCGAUGUUUCCGGAUAGUGACCGCAUUGCUUCACUUGCACCCGAUAGUCUAUGGGACUUCAUUAAUUCGCUGGGGCUAAGUGAGUCAAUGUGAUUCAGGAGAGAACACAAUAGAAAAAAGGUCGGGGUGCAUUCCUCAUCUUUGAACCAAUCAAAUUUGCAAAUUUCCACUGGAAAUCCUAACUCUAUCUAUAAAAGGAUUUUAUAUGUUAACUUAAUUAAUACUUGAUAUAAAUUCGAAGCUUUGAAAAUGCAGCAGAGCAUUACUAAGCAAUGAGCAAAUAUUGUUUGCACUACGCAAGGAGAAGUAAGUAAGUUCGAGAGGGGUUUGAGGUUAAAUAACGGCUGACUUCAUUUAAUAUGGAUAGACAGGUCGAACAAUGUAAGGAUAAAACAAAGAAGAAUAUAGAAAUGGUAUACAGAGUUGCAAGGGGUACAUAGUUCUACUGUAACGACCGAUUCUGCAUUGUGAUACUUGUGACUUGUGACGAUUUUGUAAUUCUGUAAAUGACAGUCACAAAAAUCUAUUACAUUUCAUUAUUUAGAGAUGUAUUUAUACCUGAAUGAAAAUAAAUAUUUCGAUAACACAUAUCAAAUUUUCUAUGUCACAGUCAAAAACAAUAAUUACCAAUAAAAAUAAAAAUGUAUCUGGAUUGUUUCAGAAUAUUUACAAAA